ACACUCUAAAAAACGCUGGGUUGUUUUUUCAACCCAACUGCUGGGUUGAGGCCGUUGGAUAGGACUUUGGGAUGUUUUAACCCAAGUUUGGGUUGAAAAUAACUAUCUUUUUUAACCCAGCGGGGGUGGGUUGAGGACGCGGACGUGAAGGAGAGCACGCACGUCACGUCAAAAUCGUACGUCUCUCCAGUGCGAGCAGCCGCCAUUUUCUCAGCGUGAUAGAAGCGAGAAGCGAGUGAAAGACUAUGACUUGUCCAGCUCCUGUCUUCAUUGUCCUCGCGCUGAGAGUUAAAGACACAGAAGCUGUUUGUGUGAGGAGUCACAGACCUGUGUGAGGAUGAGGAGGAGGUGUUCUUCUGAAGAGAGGGACAGACGGUUUAAGGAGAGUAAACUUCAGAAUAACAUCAAGUUAUCUUUAUUUUUACUAAGACUAAAAUAAUGUGUGUGGUUUUUUUAGAUGUUGAAAUCCAGAGACAAGAUAACUUCAUUCUUUUGAGACUGAUAACUCAAACUAACUGGAGUUAAGGACACAGAAGUCUGCUUGUGUGAGGAGGUGGUUUUCUCAGCUUCUUCUGAAGAGAGGGAAAGAUUGUUUAAAGGCGGGCGUACACGGUGCGAAUUCGGAUGGUCGGAAGAUCCUAUGUCCACGCACACGGCACGAAUGUUAAAAGCAAGAGACAUGGGAGAUCAUCAUUCCCUUGAGAUUUUAUAACUCAAACCAACUUUGGAGUUGUCUGAUUUGGAGAGUCAUUAUUCUUGGUCUGCGCUCUUAGAGGCCACUGAUGAAGAGCAGGCGAUGACUGGGAUGAAUGCUGGUCAGAGAGGAGAAUCUUCUUUCCCCUAAACAGCAGUGGUUUUAAAGAAGGACGCUGCCCUGGAUGAUGUAGAAGAUGUCACAUGCUGUGCUGAUGGGGCUUCUUCAUGACUACAUCAGUUAUGCUAAAGAGAUCAUGAAAAUUGACUGUGAUGCAUGAUCUGUAUUCAUGGACUAUGAAACAAACUGUAAGUGUAUAAUUUGUUAAAAAAAAAAAAGUUAAAUGCUUUUUCUGUGUUAUUUAGUAGAAAAGUUUACACUCUGUCAUUCAUACACCUGCUCACAUUCUUUCACACACACACACACACACACACACACACACACACACACACACACAUGCGUCUGUUAAAGGUUAUAAUAUCAAAGUUAAUGUUGUGAUUUAUUUGUGUACUGUCAUGCCAGAAUAGUUGGAAAAAAAACUAAUUGUAAAUUUAUUGUAUGUGUUUUCGUAUAUUUUUAUACAAUAUAUACAAUUGAACAAAGUCCAAUGUGAUCUUAAGUUAUAUUCAUCAAAUGUUCAAUGCUUUGUUUAUGAACUCUGUAGCUGUUAAUGCCAUCCUUUUCUGCAUUUCUUCUAACAUGUUACUUUUUGACUUUUCUCUUGUUUUUAAUAAAUAUUUUCCUUUUGGUAAUUAUUAUUUGUGUGUAAAAGUGAUAUUUAAAAUGAACAACAUUUGUAGGUUUAAUGCCUAGCUCAAUUUGGGUUAAUUUUAACGUAGAAAUGCAUUGUUUCCCCACAUGGCUGCACUCUGCGAGUUUAUUUUCUGCCAGCAGGAGGCGCUAAGAGCGGGAGAGGUAGGUUUCUCCGGUAACGGCUGCAGAGCGGUAGUGAGCUCUCAAACGCUGCCUUAUCAAGCACAUUCGAAAUGAUAUCG